GGAGGUGUAGCUCAGCGCUAGAGCAUUUGCCUGGUGUGCACACAAAAGGCCCUGACCUCAAUCCCCAGCACCACCA
rnacentral:tRNA from 1 species